GGAAAAAUAACCUAAUUGGUAAGGUAGAAACCUGCUAAGUUUCACAAUUAUAUGAUUGUUGUGAGUUCAAGUCUCACUUUUUCCG